UUUCUAAAAUACCCUAAUAAGUCGAAAAUUAUCGUAGAAACCCCUAUAAAAUUAUUUCUAGUUGGGAAAAGAAGGAGAGGGAGCUUUCAAGCAUGGGGAUGAUGGAAGCUCGCAAAAUCUUGGCCAAAUUCACCGUAGCGAAUCCGGAAAGAUGGAAACAAAAUCAAAACUCCGUACAAAUUGCUUGGCGCCCUGAUUUCAAUACUCUCAUUUAAUCUUAUCCGUCGAUCAUGGUUCGUCUACUCCAAGAAUCAAUCACAACCGCUCAUAUGAAUUUGAUCAGUGGUCCUGAUUUAAGAUCCUUGCUUUCCUAUUUUAUACAAAAGAGCCCAAACCCCUUAUUUUUUCUUCUUUCUCCUCCUUUCCUCUCCUAAUCCGCCGCCCAGCUCAAUUUUCCCUCCUCUCCGUCCUUCUUUCCGACAGAGCAUCUUGGAGAACGAGCAGAGAACAACGCCAUCCAGCAGAAGCCAUGAAACAAGCAGUUGGACAACAGUGGAGAGCUCAAAAAAGCACACGAAGGCCACCAUCGAGCCUCCAUUGACGGAAACAGCUUUAGUCCGCGAGCAACCAGGCGGUCUUCUUCCGCAACAACAACAUCAAUGAGAUGGCGCCACCAGUUGUCUCUCUCUCCGGCUAAAAUUACAACAACAUCAGCUCUACGCAGUGUGCAGUGAAAGUGAGCACCGACAGCAGCCAGAAAUAUGACGAAAUAUCACGGAAAAAACUAGUGUCACAAAUUGAUAUUGAUUAAUGUGAAGCAUAUUAUCAAGUUGUGGGGGAGAAAAGAAGAGAAGACUAUACGGUUUUUGUUUUGAAGCAAAAAUUUAAUACGGUAGAUGUUUUUUGCCUUAUCAUCAGUCCACCCUUAGUGCCUCCUUCAGCUACUUAUGAGGACGAGGUUCUUCUUUCAGCUAUUACUUAUGAGGGCAAUGUUGAUCCUUAGUUUCACGUGACAACUGUAUUCCUUUUUUAUUGUAAUAAUAUUUGAUGAAUGUAGGUUCUUUUAAGUACAAUUGAUAUAUUAUUUUGGAUUUUUUGAAUCGGGAAAACGCA